ensembl:lncRNA
AGUAACUCACCAGAGCAGACAGCUCUGCAAAAUUGUUGCCUGUGUGCCCAGAAUGGCUGGACGAAUCUGCUUGUUUGAACCCCUCAGCAAUAAAUGUCUAUUAAUUUUUCUCUCGCAAACAGCAGUGAUAUAUGGCUCUUUCUGUAUUUGCAGAGUUGCUGGCCAGAUGUACUCAGAUUAGUUUCCCAUUUGUUUUCUUCUAAGUGACUUAUGAUGCUUGACUUAAUUUUUUGUGCGUCUUGCAUCUUUAGAAGCAGUAUUGACAAUUCAUAAAUAUUUCCAAGGCUGAUGCCUCAGCACAGAUACUGCAUGUUUCCUACUGAAGCUAUUUAUAGAAGUACUCAAAGUUGUUGUGUGCUUGUUUUUACUACUGCUGACAAGGACCUGAACCCAAAGAUCUCCAGUAUACUUCACUCUCUCAGUCUAAUUGUCACAAGGAUCUAACCACAACUGGAUUUGUUUGAUUUUCAUGUUUCCAGGCAUUUAGAGAGUAUUGUGCUUUAGAUUCUGUCACAGACAGAUGCCCAUCGAUGGAAAAACAGGCAUCAGCUCCUCAGCUGGCAUGCACUGGAGUAAUUCUGAUAUGAUCAUUGGAGUCACCAGUACUUUACAGCAGUGGUGGAUCUCUCUCACUUCCACAGCACCCAUUGAUUUUACCAUAACUCUCAGUUUGCUGGUGUUCAGCCAUUUCAAUAAACUCAAAGUGUUUUCUGUAUCUCCAUCUCCACAAGAUGCCAAAACAGAUUAACAGACAGACGAACAGACAGUGGCUUUUAAGCAAUGUGGACAGAACACGAUACCAAUCACUCUGAAUGAGUAAUACAUUUAAGAACUGCAGCAAUAGGAACAGCAGAAAAUUCAUCUGCAUCUACCCUGAAACUACCUGGACCCAUUUUAAGGUGGAAUGUUCUGCAGAAAGUAUAAAAGAGAUGUCCUUUAACCGAAAGAUUUUUCCCAAAAGAGGUUAUGCCAGCAGCAGCCUGUUAACACAACUUCUUGACUGAAAGAUCUCCACAGUCAGCAGAAACCAUGAUGUUGUCGAUCUUCUAAAAACAGUCCUUUGCUGAAGCCAGAAGAUUUUAAUAUGAAAUUAGAAGAGUUCCUUUUCUCACCUCUGUCCUCUGCCAAGCAUGGCACCAAACCAUGACAUGCCCACCUAAGCAUCAGUCCCUGUACAUAAACAAGCCAUGCUAUCUACUGAACAGUCCUACACAGCGUAUUUCUACAUAGCAUGGACAAACAUUCCUGUUUGAACCACGUCAUCUACCCAGCCUCCAGACGGUGAGACAGUCCACAUGCUUAUAGCACCUGGACCACACUGUGGCUAGCUGCAGCUGCAGGGGAAAUACUUGCCAGAACGGGAUCUAUCCUGCAUAAGCCUAGAAAGACUGAAUCCCCCUCUCAAAGUGUGAACUCUUUUGCAACACAUUGCAAAUGUGCUCCAAAGAACUCUUCUAGGAAAAGCAUUUACUAUGAAUAAAUAUUAGAUGUCC